rnacentral:rRNA from 1 species
UACGAGGGGGGCGAGCGUUGUUCGGAAUUAUUGGGCGUAAAGGGUGCGUAGGCGGUUCCGCAAGUCCUGUGUGAAAUCUUCGGGCUCAACUCGAAGUCUGCACGGGAAACUGCGGGGCUUGAGUGUGGGAGAGGUGAGUGGAAUUCCCGGUGUAGAGGUGAAAUUCGUAGAUAUCGGGAGGAACACCAGUGGCGAAGGCGGCGAUCUGGGUCGAUACUGACGCUGAGGUGCGAAAGCGUGGGGAGCAAACAGG